rnacentral:hammerhead_ribozyme from 1 species
GCACUGCUGACGAGUCCCAAACAGGACGAAACAGCUGCUGUCCCAUGC